AAAGAACAGACACUAACAGAGAAAACCACAUACACAUAACAUUGUGCUUUUCUGGGGACUUAUACACACUUGACAUCAAAUAAAGCAGAAAAGCUGGGCUUUUUCUGUGGAACUCUACAAAAUCUUCCUCGAGGUUCUGAACGCAACGAUCUGAAAACCAAGUUCAUGGCAAUGCUGAGAAGUGUGUUGCUGCUCUUCAUCGUGUUCUCCAUGGGAGAUGCAGAUGUUGAUAUAGGUAGACUAUGCCAGGAUGGAUGGACAAAUUUUGGAGUCCGAUGCUACAAGUUCUUCUCUCAGUCCGACCAGCUGGAUCGCAGCAGAGAGAAACUGUAUUGAUCAGUAUGCAAAUCUCGCAUCUGUUGCACAAACCAC